rnacentral:ncRNA from 2 species
GGGAGUGAUGGGGAUGGGGUUCCCCCGAUAACCGCCAUGUUGGCUGAUGACUCCUACCGAACG